UACGUAGGGUGCGAGCGUUGUCCGGAAUUAUUGGGCGUAAAGGGCUCGUAGGCGGUUUGUCGCGUCGGGAGUGAAAUCCACUGGCUUAACUGGUGGCUUGCUUUCGAUACGGGCAGACUGGAGGUAUGCAGGGGAGAACGGAAUUCCUGGUGUAGCGGUGAAAUGCGCAGAUAUCAGGAGGAACACCGGUGGCGAAGGCGAGUCCCUGGACAACACCUGACACUGAGGCACGAAAGCUAGGGGAGCAAACAGG
rnacentral:rRNA from 1 species